rnacentral:pre_miRNA from 1 species
UUACUACUCCCUCCGUCCCAAAAUCUUGUCUUAGAUUUAUUUAAAUAUGAAUGUAUCUAGUCAAGUUAUAGUAUUUAGAUACAUCCAUUUCUAGACAAAGUUAAGACAAGAAUUUUGAGACUGAGGGAGUAUUAU